rnacentral:rRNA from 1 species
AGUGAACGCUGGCGGCAUGCCUAACACAUGCAAGUCGAGCGGCAUCGCGGGGGCAACCCUGGCGGCGAGCGGCGGACGGGUGUGGGAUUCGUCGGAAUCAGCUUCCUUUUGGGGUAUGACGACGGGAGACUUACGCUGAUACCGCAUACGACCAACGGGAGCAACAGGGGGUCCGCAAGACCGCUCGCUGAUAGCUGAGCCGUCGAGCGGUUGCCUAGUUGGUGGGGCAAAGGCCAACGAAGGCGACGCACGGUGGCUGGUUUGCGUGGUGGAUCAGCCACCUUGGGACUGGGAAACGGCCCAGACUCCUACGGGAGGCGCCAGAGGGAAAUAUUGGACAAUGGGCGCAAGCCUGAUCCAGCCAUGCGGCGGGUGUGAGGAAGGCCUUCGGGUUGUAAAGCACUUUUGUCCGGAAAGAAAUCCCUGGAGCUAAUACCUUCGGGGGAUGACGGUACCGGAAGAAUAAGCAACGGCUAACUUCGUG